UCAAGCCACCUGGUUAGUCUUACGUAAUUUAUAGCCAGGGUGGAACAGUUGUAAAGGUACUAAAGGAGUACAAAGCUUCUAUUGUGGUUGAGGGUUGUUGUUGGAGAGAAAGCUGCAAAGUUCUAGAAGAAGGAGAAAGCUUUUUGCAAUUCCCCAUUGGCCAACUGAAUGAUAGACCCUUUCAUGAAGUAAGGAGGCAGUGUUGGAGGAGCAGUUGCCGAAGAAGGAACUGACUGGACCAAGGGAAGAUGGAUCUGAGCCUGCACCACGGCUGCCUGAUACAAUGUCCAUCUUGGAAAAUUAUUUUGGAAAUCUUUCAAAGUAGUUUUUGGACACCAGUAAAUGGGCAGAGGACAGCUAUGUACAUCAAGCAGUUUUUCAAAGGUAUAUUUAUUUAUUUAUUUAUUUCAAUUAUUUAUACCCCGCCCUUCUCACCCGAGGGGACUCAGGGCGGCUUACAAGUGGCAAUUGAUGCUGUUACACUGUUAUACAAUGAACUAAAACGUGAAAACAGUUAAAACAGUCAUAAAAUACAAUAUACAAAGUUUAAAGCAAUGUAAAGUGCUUAUGCC